UACAGAGGUCUCAAGCGUUGUUCGGAUUCAUUGGGCGUAAAGGGUGCGUAGGCGGCGCGGUAAGUCGGGUGUGAAAUUUCGAGGCUUAACUUCGAAACUGCAUUCGAUACUGCCGUGCUUGAGGACUGGAGAGGAGACUGGAAUUUACGGUGUAGCGGUGAAAUGCGUAGAUAUCGUAAGGAAGACCAGUGGCGAGGGCGGGUCUCUGGACAGUUCCUGACGCUGAGGCACGAAGGCCAGGGGAGCAAACGGG
rnacentral:rRNA from 1 species